AGGUAAAUGCCUAGGAAUCUGCCUGGUAGUGGGGGACGAACGUUUCGAAAGGAACGCUAAUACCGCAUACGUCCUACGGGAGAAAGCAGGGACCUUCGGGCCUUGCGCUAUCAGAUGAGCCUAGGUCGGAUUAGCUAGUUGGUGAGGUAAUGGCUCACCAAGGCGACGAUCCGUAACUGGUCUGAGAGGAUGAUCAGUCACACUGGAACUGAGACACGGUCCAGACUCCUACGGGAGGCAGCAGCC
rnacentral:rRNA from 1 species